GACGAACGCUGGCGGCGUGCUUACCACAUGCAAGUCGAACGAAGUGGCGAACGGGUGAGUAACGCGUAAUCAACCUGCCCUUCAGAGGGGGACAACAGUUGGAAACGACUGCUAAUACCACAUACUGCAGGAGGGGAUUGCGUCUGAUUAGCUCGUUGGGGGGGUAACGGCCCACCAAGGCGAUGAUCAGUAGCCGUGCUGAGAGGAUGAACGGCCACAUUGGGACUGAGACACGGCCCAGACUCCUACGGGAGGCAGCAGUGGGGAAUCUUCCGAAAUGGACGAAAGUCUGACGGAGCAACGCCGCGUGAGUGAUGACGGCCUUCGGGUUGUAAAGCUCUGUUAAUCGGGACGCGGUACCGGAAUAGAAAGCCACGGCUAACUACGUGCCAGCAGCCGCGGUAAUUC
rnacentral:rRNA from 1 species